CACUGCUUCACCUGAGGAACUGUACACCACGACAGACAGACAGAAGAUUUCUAUAGACAAACUGAGAUGUCAGCCAUCAUGUUUCACGUUUUUCUUGCACUAUGCUUGACGGUUUUAGUAUCGGCUGACGAGGAUCGUAAAACCCCCGCUCCCCCCACCCCCAAACCUGGAUGUCUCCGUGCCAGUGACUGCCCAAGCGGAAACUGUUGUGUACUCAACAAGACAAUCAACCGUGGCGCGUGUAAACCUCUGCAGGCGUCCAGACAAACAUGCUACUGGAAGCAGGUGAACCCACGCCCUGACCCCCAGGCUAUUGUGACCAGCUAUGACCUCUGUCCGUGUGGUUUUGGCACUUCCUGUUCCAGACUUGAGGGCAAAAGUCAUCCAACAUACGGACCUUUAGGUAUUUGUACUUGGGACUAAAUCAACCACCGAAGUCAACCAGCAAUGGAUUCAAUGGAGUGAGAAGAGAAUUUGAUACAACAAAAAAAGUGAGAAGAGAAUUUGAUACAACAAAAAAAGUGAGAAGAGAAUUUGAUACAACAAAAAAAAGUGAGAAGAGAAUUUGAUACAACAAAAAAAAGUGAGAAGAGAAUUUGAUACAACAAAAAAAGUGAGAAGAGAAUUUGAUACAACAAAAAAAGUGAGAAGAGAAUUUGAUACAACAAAAAAAAGUGAGAAGAGAAUUUGAUACAACAAAAAAAAGUGAGAAGAGAAUUUGAUACAACAAAAAAAGUGAGAAGAGAAUUUGAUACAACAAAAAAAGUGAGAAGAGAAUUUGAUACAACAAAAUUUGAUGCAAGAAUAAAAGUUUACACAAACAGACGUAAACACAUGAACACAACACCUGUGUACAGAUACCUGUGUACACACCACAUAUGUUCAAGUUGUAAUAAAAUGCCAUGCUUUGUUUACAAACAGUUCAAAUAAAUAAA